GCCUUUGUGGUGUAAUGGUUAGUACACUCGGCGCGUAUUCGAGAGGUCCGAGGUUCGAGUCCCGGCGAAGGCA
rnacentral:tRNA from 1 species